rnacentral:rRNA from 1 species
AAUGUAAUAAAAGAACUAGAGUAUUAAUAGUUAUAUUCUUUAAACUUAAAAAAUUUGGCGGUAUUUUAGUCUAUUCAGAGGAACCUGUUUUGUGAUCGAUAAUCCACGAUGGACCUUACUUAAUCUUAUAAAUUAGUUUGUAUACCGUCGUUAUAGAAAAUUUUAUAAGAAUAAUAAUUUUCAAUAAAUUUAAUAAAAUUGUAUAUCAGAUCAAGGUGCAGCAUAUGAUUAAGUUAAUAAUGGGUUACAAUAAAAUUAUUUAAAUGGAUAUAAAUAUGAAAAAUUUAUUGAAAGUGGAUUUGAAAGUAAAAUUAUAUAGAUUAUUAAUUUGAUUUUAGCUCU